CCCUUAGAUGUUCUGGGCCGCACGCGCGCUACACUGAUGAACGCAACGAGACCACCUGUACCGAAAGGCAUGGGUAAACUUGUGAAAGUUCAUCGUGAUGGGGAUAGAUUAUUGCAAUUAUUAAUCUUCAACGAGGAGUUCCUAGUAAGCGCGAGUCAUCAGCUCGCGUUGAUUACGUCCCUGCCCUUUGUACACACCGCCCGUCGCUCCUACCGAUUGAAUGGUCCGGUGAAAUCUUCGGAUUGCUGGAUAGGACUUCAUUGACCUAUCUGCGAGAAGUUGCUUGAACCUUAUCAUUUAGAGGAAGGAGAAGUCGUAACA
rnacentral:rRNA from 1 species